AUUCCAGCUCCAAUAGCGUAUAUUAAAGUUGUUGCAGUUAAAAAGCUCGUAGUUGGAUUUCUGGCGGGAGCGAUCGGUCCUUCACUCAGUGUUGGAACCUGAUUGUCUCCUGCCAUCCAUGGAGAAAACUUAUCUGGCAUUAAGUUGUCGGGUAGGCAAUCUCCAUCUUUUACUGUGAAAAAAUUAGAGUGUUCAAAGCAGGCUUAUGCCGUUGAAUAUAUUAGCAUGGAAUAAUAAGAUAGGACUAUGGUACUAUUUUGUUGGUUUGUGCACCGUGGUAAUGAUUAACAGGGACAAUUGGGGGCAUUAGUAUUCAGACGACAGAGGUGAAAUUCUUGGACCGUCUGAAGACUGACUACUGCGAAAGCAUUUGCCAAGAGUGGUUUCAUUG
rnacentral:rRNA from 1 species